CCAAACUUUGUGAUGAAUGGAUCUCCUGUUCCUCAAGUUCAUGUAAGCCUAAACUUGAUUGCAGAAGUGAUGAAACAGCAAACUUCUGUUGCCUAUCAACAAACUGAGACUCAACUGAUGAAGAUUUGUCAGUCUAGACGUCCUCCGACGGAAGGGGAGGCCGGCGUCAACCUGAAUCUCGGAAUUGUUGCGAGGAAGGGAGCGCAGGCGAUCAAAGGCGAAGCGAAGACGCGGGGAGGCCUUCCGCCCACGUGCGCACCUG